rnacentral:rRNA from 1 species
CCCUUAGAUGUCCUGGGCUGCACGCGCGCUACACUGAUGUGUCCAGUAAGCACCUAACCUCUUCCGAAAGGAACGGGUAACCUUUGCAAAGCACAUCGUGAUGGGGAUAGAUUAUUGCAAUUAUUAGUCUUGAACGAGGAAUUCCUAGUAAGCACAAGUCAUCAGCUUGUGUUGAUUACGUCCCUGCCCUUUGUACACACCGCCCGUCGCUCCUACCGAUUGAAUGUUCCGGUGAAUUCUUCGGAGUCUGCGGUAUCAAUGUUUCAUUAUACCAUAGGCGAAGUUGCGUAAACCUUAACAUUUAGAGGAAGGAGAAGUCGUAACA